rnacentral:rRNA from 1 species
GAUGAACGCUGGCGGCGUGCUUAACACAUGCAAGUCGAACGAAGUGCUACGACGGAAGUUUUCGGACGGAAGAUGUAGUUACUUAGUGGCGGACGGGUGAGUAACGCGUGGGGAACCUGCCCUGUACCGGGGGAUAGCAGCCGGAAACGGCUGAUAAUACCGCAUAAGCGCACGAAUGUCGCAUGACAUGGUGUGAAAAACUCCGGUGGUAUAGGAUGGACCCGCGUCUGAUUAGCCAGUUGGUGGGGUAAAAGCCUACCAAAGCGAAGAUCAGUAGCCGAGUUGAGAGACUGACCGGCCACAUUGGGACUGAGACACGGCCCAGACUCCUACGGGAGGCAGCAGUGGGGAAUAUUGCACAAUGGGCGAAAGCCUGAUGCAGCGACGCCGCGUGAGCGAA